GACGAACGCUGGCGGCGUGCCUAAUACAUGCAAGUCGAACGCUGAAGGAGGAGCUUGCUUCUCUGGAUGAGUUGCGAACGGGUGAGUAACGCGUAGGUAACCUGCCUGGUAGCGGGGGAUAACUAUUGGAAACGAUAGCUAAUACCGCAUAAGAGUAGAUGUUGCAUGACAUUUGCUUAAAAGGUGCAAUUGCAUCACUACCAGAUGGACCUGCGUUGUAUUAGCUAGUUGGUGGGGUAACGGCUCACCAAGGCGACGAUACAUAGCCGACCUGAGAGGGUGAUCGGCCACACUGGGACUGAGACACGGCCCAGACUCCUACGGGAGGCAGCAGUAGGGAAUCUUCGGCAAUGGACGGAAGUCUGACCGAGCAACGCCGCGUGAGUGAAGAAGGUUUUCGGAUCGUAAAGCUCUGUUGUAAGAGAAGAACGAGUGUGAGAGUGGAAAGUUCACACUGUGACGGUAUCUUGCCAGAAAGGGACGGCUAACUACGUG
rnacentral:rRNA from 1 species